rnacentral:lncRNA from 8 species
UUUGAUCCAAAGUCCUAGUUUUGUAUUUUCUACAAACAAUUUACAGAGAGCAAAGGACCCUGAAGCAACCACCACAACAGGGUUGUUGAUACCAAAAUGUUCAGUUGCGAUCAGCAAAUCAUAUUUUAGCUAAAUUCUUUCAAAUGGGGAGAAGGUGUCAGCAGAGCUACAGUAGAUACAUAUGACCUGUAUGUAAUUACAAGGUAAACACCAUGGAGCAUUAUGACUUCUAUUAUGUGUCUGAGCUAGUUCACCUUCUUUGUUUUAGACCUUUGCAGACAUGGAGGGCUCUGGGUUCCCUGACUUGGAGACACUUCGGGGACCGCCUGGUUUGCCUGGCCCUCCUGGCCUCCCCGGGGCCCCAGGUACCUCUGUUGUUGGGACAGGGGUCUCUGGCUUAUUUGGCCCCAAAGGUCCCCCAGGACAGGAUGGUGCUCCUGGUCAACCGGUAGGUCCUCAGGCAAUGCACCCUUCUCUCCAUUCUUUUGCCUUUCAUCUAACAUACCACAAUGCAGCCAUAAUAGUCAUAAGCAUUUGAUUGUGUUUUAUCCAUAAUUAUUUAGAAUGCUUUAUCAUAAUGUAAGAAGGAAGGUGACCUCUGCAGAGAAAUGCCUGUUUUUUCUUUAAUUAUUAAAUAUAACCAGUUGGUCAUUUGACCAACUACACUGCUGAUACAGUGCGCAAAGUGUAAUGAAUAUGAUGAUUGUGAUGAUUAAGUAAAUGAUCAUGAUAUUAAGUCGUACACUUGUGCUUUUUAGGGCUUACACGGCCCGCCUGGUGCUGAUGGUCGCCCAGGAGCUGCAGGGGCCAGGGGAGAGAAGGUAAGACUGAAAAAAAAUACGAAUGAUUCUAAUGAUCGAGUUCUUUACAUCUCGUCAUGGCCUCUUGUGUCAUUACCGAAUGGCAUCAUUGAUUGUUUUAUGAAGAGCAAUACCUAUGGGAAUUGAAUGGGAUCAGUCCAUACAAGUUUAUCACCUCUACGUUCCUACUCUACAGGGUGAUCCAGGUGAACUCGGUCUUCCAGGAGCAGUCGGAGCGAAGGUGGGUACCGAGCCUUUUACUUUACUUUAUUAAAUCAAAUACGCUAUUGAAAACACAGAGGUAAGAUUGGAAAACACAGAAGUCAGAUUUGUAAAUAAACUUAAUGGCCUAUUGAAAGGUUAGAGGUUUAUGUACAGUAUUCUGCAAGGGCUCAAGCUUUCCCUCUCUUUCUCGUGCAAAGCUUCUACUUGUACCUUCCUAGCUAUCUCUCCAACCUGUUCUCUUAUGUCAUCGUCCUCUCCUACACCUGCCAAUCUACAGGAGGUGCCAGGUCACCAGCAUGGCAGAGUGGACUUUCUGUGUCUCUAGGGCAAGUUUGUGUUCAUUAGGAACCAAACAGACUGAAACAGGAAGGGGCUAUUUGGACUUCUCUUGCAAAACCUUCUAUAUUGUUUUCUGUGGCGUGCCCUAAUGAACACGACCCACGUCUCCUUGUCCCAGUCCCCCGGAGAGUUACUGGGUGCGCAAGCUUUUGUUCCAGCCCAACACCUACACAACUCUUUCAAAUAAUCACCUCUUUAAAAUAAUCAACUAGUUAGUGCUGGGUUGGAACAAAUGCCUUCACACCUAGUAGCUCUCCAGGACCAGAGUUGGCAAUCCAUUUGGCAUAUGUGUAUGAACUUUAAGUUAUGUUACAGGCUAGGGGACUAUAUUUCAACUGUCCCAUAUCUGCAGUUGGUCAGUUUCUCCUAAUGUUGCUUACGUUGCCCUACAAUGUGAUUAAUACCUGUGUGAAGUGUGUCCUACUAGUAGUGUGUGGAUUGGAUCUUAUUAUUUGCGUAUUGCUGACAAUGGAUGCCUGCUCAGAUGCAGCACUAAAGCCAACGAGUGGAACAAUGGCUCAUCAAUAUGAUAAUUACUCUUUUUGAAUCUUGACUAUCAUUCUAUCUCAUUCC